ACUCAUACCUUGCAGAGGAAAUACCAUGUCAUAAAAGUGGUUUUCCCAGAGGGAGGCUCAUCCAUUGCACUUUGGGUGUGCUGCUGAUCCCUGUGAUUUCUCCAAAACAGGGGAACUCAGCUGCAUAAUUUGUGAUUGCACUUGUGAUUUCCCUGGUU
rnacentral:snRNA from 1 species